UGUAUUAGAAGAACUAACUCUGAAGACGAAUGAUAUGGGGAAGGGGAUAUGUGAUGGACAACUCUCAUUGCAGUGUUUCCAAAACCUUAAGCAUCUUAACCUCCAAUUCUUUCCCGAGACAUCCACUACUCUUCCGUAUUCCUUCAUUCGGUCACUACCAGUGCUUCAUAAGCUUGUUAUAGACAAUGCUUCCAUUUGUCAAAUAGUACAAUCUGAAGGACUCAGCGACUAGGAAUGGCAUACAUCAGCAUUCUAUCAGCUAAAGGAAUUAAGUUUGUCUCAACUUCCAGAGUUGACGUUAAAGACUUUUGAACCAUCUUUGCUGUCUUUCAAAAAUCUAACAACACUGAAAGUUUCAAGAUGCCAUGGGUUCAUCAAUUUAAUCGCAUGCUCAACAGCUAAGUGCCUGACGCUACUGGAAAGAUUGAUCAUAGAUGAUUGUGAGAUGAUAGAGGAAAUCAUAGCGUGUGAGGCUGAAGAAAUACAAGGCGGCAUUGUAUUUCCCAAACUGAAGUAUUUGCAACUAAGUUGUCUGCCAUGUCUAGCAAUCUUUUCCUUGGCCCAUCACUUGUUGGAAUUCCCAGUCUUGCUAAUGUUGAUGGUGACAAAGUGCCCCCAAAUGAGGAAUUUCUGCCAAGGAGAUUUAAGCACGCCAAGGCUGGAACAAAUGCACUUAACAAGAGAUGAGGAAGGUGAACUGAAGUGGGAAGGCGACCUUAACACUACCAUAAAACAUAUGUUCGAUGAAAUGGUACAAAUCAUUUAAAGGAUUUAAAUUCAUGUGUUUUUACAUACAUACAUACAUAGUUAAUUGAACAAUUCCUGGUUUGUUAUGAUCAUGCACAGAAUGUGCAAAAUUCUGAGGUGACGGAGGUUACUGAUCAGUUGCCCAAUCUGGAAUAAGGAAAUAUGUUUGGGUGCUUAUGCGAAAAGCUCAAUUUCGUUUGAAUUCAAAACAAACGGUAAUUGACUCCUCUAUUUUCAUCAUGGCUUAACUAAUGCUUUAUAAAGUGACCAUAGAGACGCCCUUUUCAUUGUAGGUUGAGUUGCUCUACUGAAGUACGAGGCUGCAACUUUUGGUAAAAUGUGAAAGGUUAUUUCAGUUUUUGUAAAACUACCAUUUGAACUGUUCCAUUUCACAUUAUACCCUCAAAAUUGAACUUCAAGUGCAUCAUGCUUGGCAUUGGGCUACAAACAUGUAAACUUUUACUAGUAAGGUUGACCCCUGUUUUAAGGAUUUGCCAACUUUUGAUGGUUACCAUAUCAAUGUCAGCUUAAAGCUAUCAAGUAUCUUUACAAAUAUAAUAUAUAUAUAUUAUUCCUUAAUGAAGGAUAAAAGUAGGCAGCUAUCUAUUAAUGGUACGGCUGAUUCUGAAAAGACGGCUGAAAUUGAAUCAAUGGGUUGUUGGUAAUUGCCUGAUGGAAGAACAGGGCCUAAUGUUACGUGGAUCCUGAUCAAGUUUUAAAUUUUCAGUUGUAGGCAUUACUGAUUAUUGCCAUUUGGUUGUUGAUCCUCUGAUUUUACGGUUGACUGUCUUGCUUAUACGUUGCAAGGUUGGCGGGUCUCAAGUAUGAAUUUCCAAGCCGGCUGUCAUCCAUAAUUAACUAAGUGUUCCAAUCUGUUGAAAGGUGGUUAGCAUGCAGCAUUGAAGACCACCAUGCAGAAGCAGCAGUUUGCACGAGAAAGCAAGGAUGUUUAGUUUCAUUUGAAUUUUUUUUUUUGUUUAUGUAAUGUAAUCUAGUUCAUUUUGAACUAUGAUAAGAUGAUAUUUGAUGUAAACUUGAUGGUGAUUGAGCUGUUUACCAGCUUUAUUCAUUUGCACAAGUUAUCAUUCCAAUUUACUAGGAAACUUAGUGGUAGUAGGUAUAGUUUUGGUUAACCUACUGUCUUGACAAGCUAGAAGCUUGAUUUAUGUAUUGGCAUUAAGCCUUUUUUUGAUGAAUGAAUUUAAUCAAGUUUUCAUUCAAAAACUCUCACCAUUCUCCUUGCUUUAUUCUUUUUAGUUUUCUGCUUGUUUCUGCUGCAAGUCACGACACUUGCUGCUCAAGCAAUAGGCUGAAACUUGUUGUUAGUUGCUCUCAGCUCCAACAGAAUCCAUGGAGUUUAUGGUUUAUUAGUGUAACUGUCCAUUUGGUUGUGGAUUGGUUCUUAAGGUGUUUUGAUGCUUGUAUGUUACAGUGCCUGCUCCAAGCAACACCCUUUAAUUUCUAAUGAAUUUUAUUUGUUGAGGAAAAAAAUAUGAGGAUUAAUCUGAUAUUUUAUGUUUGGGUUUAUGAAGAUUUUUGUACCUUUAAUGAAAAAAGCAAAUAAAAUAGAGAGGUACAAGAUCACAUCCAUAGAUCAACAAAGGGGUUUAAUAUUUCUAUAAAAAAAGUUGUCCCAAAAAGGCCUUCUAAUGGGAAUUGAAAAAAAAGCUUGUAAAAAUUUACAAAAGGAAUUGAUGAGAAUCUGAUACAGCCAUCACAUGCGACAGCUUUCCCUUAAAAGCAUUCGUGGCUGAGUCUAGUCUUAAUUUUUAUUUGUAUCUUUUAUAUCCGUUUUAUAAUUCAUAUUUAAGAUUUGUAUUAUGCGCUUAAUAUUUCAUUAUUUGUUGUCUAUGAUGCUCAUUCUUGAAAAAAAAAACAAACAAACAAAUGCAAUGCAUGCAUAAACCAUAAAAAAAAUAAAGAACAUAAGCAACUAAUAAUGAAAUAUAUUAAAAUGAAGACCGGUAAUUGAUUUAAGAAUUACCCUAAUUUCGGUAAAUAUAUUAAAACAUGUGUCCCUAAUCUUUUUCAAUUUUGAUAUUGAAAAAAUUGGUAUUCUUAAAAUUAUGAGAGUUAUUCAAUUAUUUUCAUUUUUGAAAUUGAUAAAUUAAGGACAAUUAAUCACAACGUUAAUGUUUUUAUCAAUUAUAUAUGAUUUUCUUGAUAUAAUGAUAAAUUUAGUCCUCAAAGUUUACACAUUCUAUCAAUUUGUUAUUGAUUUAACAAAUUUAACCCACAAUAUUUACACAUUUCGUCAAUUUGAUCAUGAUUUAACAUAUUUAACCCGUAAUAAUUAUACAUUCUAUCAACAUUUACGCAAAAUAUAUAAUCAUCAAGGAUUAAAUUUGUUUUUAUACUAAUCAAAAUUAUGUAUAAUUAACAGAAACUAUUAGCGCUUGAUUAAUUGUUCGUGGUUACUUUCAAAAAAGAUAAGGAUUAAUUUGUUCAAUAUCAAAAAGAUGUUUUUUAUUUUUAUUUUUUAAUUUCAUAGGUAAGAAAAUCUCAAAAAAAAGAAAAUCUUUGAAAUAAAAAAUAGAAUGUUUUAUAUAAUUAUUUGAAGUUACUCUCACGUUAUUUUUACCCAUUCAAAGCUAGCAAGUCUUUAUGUACAAAAUGGUAUAGCUCUGCAAUUUGGAUUAACAUUUUGGUGACCUCCAUGUGAAGUGAAAGAAAAUUGAGAAUGUCACACAAUUAUUAUUUUUGCCUCCAUACCCCUAUGCCACCAAAGAAAGUUGAAUUAUUAAGGCACAAAAGUACUAAGGAGUAGGAGCUAGAAAAAGAGGGGCAUGAAAAUAAAGAGACUUACAUUUAUUAUUUGCAUAAUACAAAAUCAGUCUUUAAUAUUUACAUAUUUUAUUAAUUUGAAUUUUAUUUUUAUUUAGUUAAAUUUAACUUUAAACCCUUUAAAAAAAGUUAAAUUUGAUCAUCAACAUUUUAAAAAGAGUCAAAUUAUUAUUUAACGGAAAUGUUAAAUUUUGAAAUACAUAUAACAAUUCGCGUGUAUUUCAUAUUAUUUUUUUAAAUUUUUUAUAUUUUUUUGAAAUUUUUAUUUUUGAAUAUUGUUAGAAAAAUAUUUGGAACAUUGUUAGUGGAGUUUUUAACCUCCACCAACAAAAUUAAUGGGUUAAUAAGUGUCUUACAGGGAUAUAAUAAAAUAUUAAUAUAUAUAUAUUAAAAUAUAUAUAUAUAUGUUAAUUUUUUUAAAGUUGUGGAAUAAAAAUAAUAUAUUAUUGGCAUACCAAAUACUCACCUUUUUAAUUAAGAUUUAAAAAUAAAAAAUAGUUAGUAAAAUGAAUGGAUUGCAAAUUGAGAAAUUUGAUAUUGAAUAUUAAAAUUUUCUUAAAAAGAAGACAUAUAGCAAGAUAAGAAAGUUAGUGAUUUAUUUGAUUUAAUUUUAAUUUUUAAAUUGAUGCAUUUUAUUAUGAAUUUUUAUUCUUUGUGUAUUUUGUAUAAUUUGUUUGAAAUUUUCAAUUUUCAAUUUCUCACAUGAGUUUGAGAUAUAAAAAAAAUUACUCUUAGGAUUGGUGAAACAGUGGAUACAAGAGUUCAGCUUAUCAUAUAUUGAUGAUUUUGUUCUUCGAAAUAUUGUCUACAGAUAGGAUAUCAGAGUUCUAUUAAUUAGAGUUCCGUUAAAAAGUCGAAAUUUCUAUUUUAGCCUAGGACUCUAGGAGUUCUGUUAUCGAUAUUCUAAUUAUGAUCAUGAUCUAUAAAAAAUAUGAGUAACAUGUGAUACGUAAAUGAAAAUUUUUAUGAUAUGAUAAGUCAUAAAUUAAGUGAAAAUGUAUGAAAGUGUAUGAUUAUAUGAAAGACAAAAAUAAUUAAUUUAAUUUAAUGAUCUGUAAAAUUGAAAAAUGAAAUACAUGAAUUAUAUAAGAGAAUGUUGACGAUCAAUAUGUGGUAUGUAAAUGAGAAGGAAAAAAUUAUAUGACCAAAUACUAAAAUAAAUGAAUAAUGAAAUUAACUAAAUACUUUGUAAGUUCAAUAAUUUAAAAAAUUGUUAUUUUUCCCAUUCAAAGUUGAAAAGUCUUUUAUGUGAAAAAUAGUGUAGCUCUUCAAUUUGGGUAUAACAUUUUGGUCUUCUCCAUGUGAUGUGGAGGAAAAUUGACAACAUCACACAAUCAAAUCCAUUUUUUCUGCCAUACCCUUGUGCCUCCGAAGAAAGUUAAAUUAUUAAGGCACAAAAGUACCAAGGAGUAGAAGCUACCAAAAGAGGAGCAUGAAAAUAAAGAGAGAUACAUAUAUUACUGGCAUGAAAUAUUUACAUUUUUUAUUAAUUUGGAACUUCUUGCCUUUUACUACUAGCUUGAUUUGUAUCAUCGCUCUCACCUUUUUGAGCUUGUAUCUGAUAGUGAAACCAAAGAUUAGUGAAAGCCUUCGCACCAAAACUGAGUUCUAGGAACUGCAAUAGGAUCAAUUUCAACAACUCUAAUGGGAUAUUAAACAUUCCCAACUCUUAAGAUCACCAUCUCAUCAAUUUUACACAAUUAAAAUGAAUGUUUCCCUUCACAAAAGGUUUAGGAUGAGCAGCACCAUCGUCCACACUAAUAAAACUUCCCCAGUGAUUGGCGAUGUUUUUAAAUGUAGAGAUCGGACAAGCAUGGAUCGGAACCCCUAAAGUUGUUCUAUAAUUAACCAAAAUGUUUUCAGACCAUGACUCAACUUUUGUGAACCACCUCAUCGAAAUUUCAAUAAACUCUUUUAUAACCUUCUCCACCGUUAAACUCCAUUAGCAACUUGGAGGCCACCCUCUUCUAACCGCAGAGCAAGGUUCUCAAGAGUACAUAAAUCUCUACACCAUCCCAUAAUACAAAUUGUAGCUUAGAAAGUUUUUCUUCCUCGAUAAUCCCAUCUAUAGGAAUUGACUCUAUCUCUUUCUUACCUGUAGCCACCUCCUCCAUGAAACAAUUCUUGUUUAUAGCUUUUUCACCUCCGAGGGUUCCACUCGUAUCUAGAGAAUCCUUUGAUACCUCCAGAGCCUUUGAAGCGUGCAAAGUUGACCCAUAUUCUAUGUCCAAAUAAAUGGAACCGUUCAGACGAAGCGUCGCCCUUCUUGCAUCAGUAAAGUUUGCGAAUCUCACAAAACCAAAUCUUUCUCCUUUUUAUGAAGACAUCCAUAACCCUGCCGUGAUACUCGAAUAUCUUCCAAAGACCUGUCCAUUGCAUUCGUGGAGGACGAUUCACUACAAAAACAGUAACACAACUCUGUCCAGUGUCCACCACCCAACCCAUUACUCAUUAAUAAAACUCCUACUUCAUCACUUAACUAAAGCUUUCUUUUUGAUAUUUUUAUAUAUUUUAAUUUUGUUUUGUAUUCAAAUAAUUUGAUAAUUAACUUUUAACAAUUAUCCCAUAGUUUUUACUAUAAAUUUAAGGAAGACAAUCUUGAUAAAAUUAGUUUGAGGUAGGAACAGUUUAUUGGAACAGCGUAGUCUUUUAUAGGAUUAAAAAUAUUAAUGCAAGAAAUAAAAAACAAGUGAUUAAAGGUUUAGAACAAGCAAUCAAACUUAUUUUAUGUUAAAAUUUUCGAACAAUAUGAAAAUAUAUAAUUUUAAUUGUUCUUUUACCAAUUAAAUUGAUUUUUGACAGGUUUAACUAUUGACUUAAAAAAGAGUGUUAAUUUGAAUGGUUAAAUGUAAUGAUGCAUGGUUUGUCUGACAUCGUCACAUGGAAAAUGGGAUUAAAAAUGGAAAUUAAGCAAAGGCAAAAUGAAUAUAUUUAUUGUUUUCUAAUUUGGUGUAGGGUGCCAUAUUUGUUGAUAGCCACUCACUAAUACAUUAUAAAUGGAAUAAUUGCCUAUUUUACCUUUUUCAUGAAAUUUAUUGACAUCACCAGCUCAUUUUUCAACCACAUUACUCAAAUGAUUGACAGAGAGAGGUAAAAGUAAUUUAUAAAUGUAUUUCUUUUUUUUCGAGUAUAAUUUGUAUUUAUUUCUAGCCAUUUUUAUAAAGUUAUUGUUUAAAAAAGGGGUAAUUAUCAAAUUCAUAUAUGAUUUGGAUCCAAUGUACAAUUUGAUACAAACUACAAUUUGGUGUAAUUAUACACAUAAACUUGAAUUGUGAUUCAUAUGAGCACAUGAAACUUUGAUUUUGAUUCAAUUGUAUGCAUUUAAUGAAUGUAUACGUUUAAAAAAAAUGAAUAUUUACAUUUAUUUUCAUAUUUGAUUAUAUACAGGGGCGAAACCAGAAAAUUCUUUUAGGGGGCUGAAAUUAAAUUGUAAUUUUUACGAUAGCAAAAAUGUAAUUUCACCAUUUUAAUGGCCUAUAUCUUUAUAAUUUUUAAAUGAUUAAAUCAAAUUUUAUAUUUUUAGCGGAGCAAAGUACAAUUUUACCUUUACUAAUUUAAAAUUUUAAAAGGCCUAAAUAGAAAAUUCACCAUUUCAAGGGGACUGAGACUAGAGGUGAUCAUGGGUUGGGCCCACCCGAAAAAUAGGAGGGUCCAAGUAAAAAUAUAGACCCAAAAUAUGGGUUUCGGCAAAAAAAGAAGCCCGUUUAAAAAACGGGCCGGGCUCGGGUAAAAAUUUUUUGGCCUAGGCCCAACCCGACCCGGCCCGAAUUAUAUAUUAAAUAUAUAUAGUUUUUAUUUUUAAUCAAAUAUGUAUUAAAUAUAUACUUUUUUGGUGUUGUACAAUUUGAUAUGGGUUGGGCUCGGGCUUAGCAAUUUUCUUUUGGGCCGAGCUUGGAUAAAUUUUUAGGCCCAUAUUUUGGGCCCAGCCAAGCCCGAGCCUAAAAAAUGGGCCUAAAAUUUUGUCUGGGCCCUGCUCAGCCCAUGAUCACCUCUAACUGGAACCCCUGUCAGCCCCUUAGUUUCGCCCCAAAUUAUAUAAUAGUUUGUAUAUGCAAUAUAUCAACGUAAAAUUGUGCUAAUUCAAUAAUAUUGUUAGUGAUUUCUGAAAAUUGAAUCAAAUCAAUAUUUCAUAUAUAAAAUUGUACAAAAUCAAAGUUCAUAUACAACAUAAAUAAAUAAAUAAAAAGUUCAUAUAGAACAAUAUACAUUAAAUCAAAAUUUAUAUAUAAUUUUGAUAUUUAUCUCAUUCUUUAUUAAUUAUAACGUGUGAACGAGGUGAAUCCAAAUUUUGUCAUUUAUUUUCCUACCAUCUUUGCGAAAUAAAUUUCAACUUAAGAAGGAAAAAAUAAUUAACAUUUUCAAAUUCUAUCAAGAUAGACAUGUUCAUAGGUCAGACUCUCGGCUUAGGUUCAAAAGUUCACUAAAAUUUUGGGAGGGUUUGGAUAAAAAUAUCAUACCCAAAGAAUGGACUCGAGCAAAAAAAAAAGACCUGUUUAAAAUAUGGGUCGGGCUCGGGCUUGAAUAUUUAAGGCUAGACCCGUUUUAAGUUUAUAAUUUUUUAUAUUAUGUUAUUUUUUAUAUAUUAUGUAAUUUAGAACACAAUAAAAAAUAAACAUAUAGUAAAUAUAUAAUAUAACUCUAAUGUAAACAUUAAAAUAAUAUUAAAAUGACUAUAUAAAAAAUUUCAAUAAAUAAAAAUGUAUAAAUAUUAAAAUAAUAUAAUAUAAAUACUUUUUAAAAAAAUUAAAAAAUAAUAUAAGCGAACCUAAAAUGGGUUUAGAUUAGUUUUUUGUAAAUAUGGGAGUGUUUUGACAAAAUUUUAGGCCUAAAUUUCAAACCGGACCGAACUUAAACAAAUAUAAAAUAUCUUAAUAUCAUGCUUAAACCAACCUAUGAACACUUCUACAUAAAAAUAAUAUAGACGAAUUGAUGUCGUUUAGUUCCACAAGGUCAAACUUCAAAUUAAUACGAGUGUAUUAUUAAAAGUUUUCGUCCUCGCAUUACUUGUAAUUAGUUUAUGUCUUUUAAUUCAUUGAGAAGUAACAAGCAUGUAUGGAUGUCCAUUGUACAGGCCCAUUUUGACCUAAUCCAUUACAACCCAUAACCCAAGCAAAAACAAAACCUACCCAGGCCCAACUAAGCCUAACCCACCAAAACCAAAGCCCAAAUCAGCAACCCAAUUCAGCCCAAUCUACCUAACCCUAGCCAAUUUGUAGAAAAAAGAAACAGCAGCCACCCUAGGUGCGCCGCACCUAGGGCCUUCGUCCACCUACCCCCUGCCACCGCCUCUGACCAGCGCCGCACCUGCUCUCUGCCAUCGCCCAACUGCACCUGCAAGAAGAGAAACCAACACGCAACAACAAAUAGUAGACAUAGAUAAAAAAAAUGUUAAAAUCGGCUAUAAAAGCCGAAACCAGAGGAAUGUAAAGGGUUCGGCCCCUCUUUGACGAUUAAAAGAAAUAAAAGUUUUUUGAAAAUCUUAAAGGUGACUACUACCUUUUUAGAUCUGUUUUUUUUUGUUCUUUUAAAUAUUAUUUUUGUUUUUAAAUACAAACAAAUUAAAAAUAAGAAUAAAGGAGAAGGCUUUUUACCUUACCUGCGCCGCGACGGAGGUGGAGGAAGGCGAACGGUUUCGCCCCAUUUUUUGGGUCUUCGGCUUUCUAUUCAGGAGAUUCAGCCCCGGAUCUGUGGCCUGGAGGCCAUGGACUUCAAAAAAGGACGAAAAAGGUCCGAUUUUGAACCUCCGGCGGCCACACACGGUGGCUCUGCGGCGGAGACUCGUCGGAAAUCUCGAGCCGGACCAUGGCCGGACCUGAGAGAAAAAGAGAGAGUUUUCUCUCUGUUUUUUUAAAAAGAAGAUGAAACUGUUUCUUUUAGCUUUUUUUAGUAUUUAUAUUAAACGUGAAACGACGCCGUUUUAGCAAAAGGAUCCGCGCGUCGACCCGACCCGACCCGGAGGAUCCGCGUGUUUUCAGUUUUUGGGAUAUUUCGCGUGCAGUCCCCCUGAUUUUGCAGCGUAUUACAAUUUUAUCCUUUUGUUAUUUUCUCUUAUUUUUAAUUUAGCCCCUGCAAUUUUAUUUUUAUUUCGACUUGGUCCAUUUCAACGCUGCGUUUUGGGGCUGUGGUUUAUUUGCAGUUUUGGCCCUUUCCUUUUCAGCGCGCGUUGCAAUUCGGUCCUUCUUGUUUUUUUAUUUCAAAUUUGCCUAGUAUAUUUGUUUUUAUUUUGAUUUAGUCCCUUUUUAGCAAUCUUAUUUAUUUUGAUUAAUUAUUUUAAUGUAUUAUCAUUUAUUAUUAUUAUUGUUGCAUUUAUUAUUCUGAUUAUCAUUUACCCAUUCGCAUCGUUUUUGGAUUUGGUUAUACAUACAUACUUAUAUAUAUUUUUAUAUUUUAUAACUUAUAUACAUAUAUCUAUAUUUAUAUUCUUUACCUUCACAAAUAUAUGUAUACGUACCUAUAUAUAUAUAUUAUUUUAUAUAUAUACAUCCUUUUACAUUUUUAGGUUUUUAUAUUUUGUUCAUUAUUUAUUUAUUUAUUUACAAUUUUGUUAUUAUUUUAAAAGAAUGCUUUAACUUUAUUUGCUUAUAUAUUCAUUUUGUAUGCUAUUGAUUUGUCUUUUUUUAUUUAUCUUAUCUUUGAUGCUAUUGCUCGUGUUAUUUUACUUGCAUUAUCAUCAUCAUUUCAUUAUACCCAUUUUUAUUUAGAUUUCGAAAAAGAAAUUUUAGAAAUAAGUAAUAUUCGGUAUUUUGGAUCUUCGAGAGAAUCGAGCCCUAACGUAUUGGGUUCCGACUUUCUUCGUUGAACUUAAAUAAUUGAGAUUAUUCUUUUAAAAAUGAUAAAAAGCUCGUUACCGAGAAUUCAAUAUGUUGUGUCCUAACGCAUUGGAUGUGACACGUUAUUUUUUCGAAACGAGAAUUUUUCUAAAUAAAUGUAAUAUUCAAUGUUUAAUAUUUUGAGAAAUUGUGCCCUAACGUAUUGGGUUGCGAUUUCUUCAUUUGAUUUAAACAAUUGAAUAUUCUUUUAAACUUUAUUACACGAAUUUUUUCAAACUCAAGUUAAACGAUAUCGGGAAUUAAAAAAAGGAUCGUGUCCUAACUUACUGGUCGCGAUAUCUUUUUUUAAUCCAAGAUAGUUAAAUAUCUUUUAAAUAAGCAUUUUUCAUUCGCGUAUCGGGAAUUCGAGACAUUGUGUCCUAACUUAUUAGAUAUGAUUCUCUUUCUCGAAUAGCGUGAAAUAUGCCCCUUUUUCAGAAAUUUUUCAACGUUUUAAUACAAGGAUCGUAUUUUUAAAAUUCUUCAAAGUUCUCAAUUUUCGACAUUAAGACAUUAAGUAGUCAAUUAGGUACCAAUUUUGGGCGUAUCGAGGGUGCUAAUCCUUCCUCGUGCGUAACCGACUCCCGAACCCGUUUUUCUGAAUUUCGUGGACCAAACUUGUUGUUUUAAUAAAAUCAAACCGUUUAUUAAAAACAACUAAUUUUAAGGUGAUCCAAUCACACCUCAUAAAAAAGGAUUGGUAGCGACUCCCGUUUCUUUUUUCAAAACCCAAGUCGACCCCGUUUUCCAUCCAAAAAAUGGUGUCAACAUCCAUCUUCUACCAUAGUUGUCUUCUAAAGAACUUUAUAAAGGGAAGCUAUGCCACUCUAUUUAAGGGUUGGUUUUGGAGAUUAAAGUGUAAUUUUAUCAUCAUAUUAACUUAAGUUUUUUUUUUAAAUUUAAAAACGUGUAAAUGGUAAAUUUACUAUUUUUGGAAGGUCAAGGCUAUUGCUUCCCCUUAUCUUUGCCCUGCUAGUAGUUGACUAACACGGUCUCAUACAGUAAUACUCUUAUCGAAUAUAAAGCCUUGUUUAAAUGGAGAUAUUUAUAAGAGGAAAAAUACUAAAUAAUGCAAGCUCGCCCAUGCCUGGUCACUGUGAGCCCCUUUGUGAGGAAGCACCUGAUCUUCUCUCGAAGUUACGAGGUUAUUUUGUCAAGUUCUUUAGAGAGAGUUGUCUCACACCCCUAGGUAUUCUCUACCUACCCACUUGUGUCGGUUUUGGGUACACGUACCCUUUUGAUGAAGGUCGUUCAAGCUUUUCCUGGAAGUAUAAUUUUUACUUCCACUUACAAUUUCAUAAAAUAAUAAUUUAUCAAAUCAAAAUUAUUCAAAUACAAAUUCAAAAUAUUUGAAUCAAAAUUAAAUUGGAGCUCCUCACUCAGGCUUCUACUUUUGUGCAUUGAUAAUUCAGUGGCAGCACUUCCCCCUUGCCUUAAUUGUUGAAAAUUGAAUAAAAAUUGUACCUUUCAUUUCCUUCCCUCAGACAAGUUGUUCAUUGUUGCUCCCACUCUUCAGUCUUCUCUAAAAUAAUGUAGGAAUCCCAAGUCACUAUAAUUAGGUGAUGAGGAUGGUACUUACUUUUUUUCCAAUAUCAGGGUAUUUAUCGUUAAUAAUAGUGAUUGAUUUUUUUUGUUGCGAAUUUGUACAAGAGCUUAUGUAAGAGUUUAAUAUAGUUCAAUGAUUAUUUUAUAAUUUUUUAAAGUUAAAUAAUCAAAAUAGAAAUUAAUUAACAAUUUAGCUAGAGAGCUUACACGUAGUUUACCCAAAAACAUAUCGACAUGAUCCCCCAUUGGAGUCCGAAGCCAAAGCUCACAAAUUGGGUUAACAUUUGACAUUUGGGGUUUCAAAUUGAGAAUUAAUUGAAAUAGAUAACAAUUAGCAAUUAAUUGAGAAUAAACAAAUUAUAUUCCAUAUAGUGUAGUAUUGAAUAUAUGUUUACUUCAUUAAAGGUCUCUUUUUUAUUCAAUUAAUUUCUCCAACUCAAAUUUAGCAACUUAUUAUGGUACUAUGAGAUUAUAAGAAUGGUUUUUGGAAGUAAAUCAGUGAGUGAAGUUGUAAAAUUACUGAUUUUCGAUUUAAUUACUUUAAUCAUUGGUCUAGUUUCAAUUAAAAAAUUUAUUCAUGAUUUAGCCUAUAAAUUAUAUAUAUUCUCUCACUUUAGUCUAGUUUAGACUUGCCUAUGGCCCUGCUCGAAUGUCCACCUGAAAAGCGAGAUGAUUUAGGUAAAUAUAUAUGCCCAAAAAGUUGGUCUGGAUAAAAAAAUAAUGCUCGUUUUCUAAACGGAUUGGGUCUCAGGUAAGCUUUUCUUGCUCAACCUGGCCCGAAUUUGCAAAAAAAAAAACUAUUGUUGUUUUUUUUACUAUUUUAUCAUUGUUUUUCUAUCAUUUCGUUAUUAUAUUGCUACUAUUUUAUUAUUAUUGUUUGAAUAAUGCAUAACUCUUGUUUUAUUACUAAUUUUGCUACUAUUUUAGGGAUAUUUACUUUUUAAGUUACACUUAUCUCAGUGUUAUAUAUUUAAGUAUUUUUUUUUAAUUUUCAUUUGUUCGGAAACAUUUAUUUCAAAUUUUUUAGUGUAUUUGAUGAAUUAUUUUUUAAAAUUUAUUUUUAUAUUAAAAAUAUAAAAAAUUAAUAUGGGCAGACUAGGCUUUUAACAUUUUAAUCUAAGUUGGGCUUGGAUAAAAUUUUAAGCCUAUUUUUCGAGCUGAACCGAGCUCAGGCCUAGAAAUUAGGCCUAAAUUUUUUACUUGGCCCUAUCAACCCAUGGACAACCCCAGUCUAGUUUCAGUUGGGAAUGAGAAUUACUACUAUUUUGUUGUUAUUAAAUUGUUAAACCAUUGUUUUUUUUUUUUGGUGCCACUUCAAAAAGCCAUUGGGCCUUAGUCAAGACGAGGUAACAUAGAAUAGUUCAGGGUCCUAACUGGAAAAUAUCCCACAUUGAUUAUUGUGAUGUAGAAAGUGGAAAAUAUGUAACGAGCGUCAUUGGAAAGAUGUAUGUCAAACUAGUGGAGCCAUAAAUUGGUAGUUUUCUAAGGUUGGUUUCAAAAUGAAGGGGGAGCUCCCAAGUCAAAAUAAAAUUGUUUAGUAUUUUUUAGUGUUUCCCUUUUAGACAGGUUAAAUUGUGUAUUUAUAUGUAGGGGUGUUCAUUCGGUUAACCGAUCGGUUAAUCGAAUCGAACUUUUUUAAAAAAAAUUAACCGAACGAAAUUUUUUCGGUUAAUUCGGUCGGUUAAUCGAAAAUUAUAUGUUUUUUUAUUUUUGGUUAAAAAUUAACCGAAUUAACCGAAUUAACCGAAUUCCCGAAUUACCCGAAUUAACCUAAUUGAAUCAUACAUAAUUAAAUUAUUUUUAGACUUUAAUACUUUAGUUUUAGUUUUAGUUUUAGAAUUUGUUUUUAUUUAUUAAAUUAUUUGUAAAUUUUAUGAUUGGGUUGGUUUGGGUAAUUGGGUUGGAUUGAAUACUUGGAUUUGGAUUGGGUUUAGGUGAAUAGUGGACCUAUUUAUAUAUUAAUAAUUUUAUUUAUUAAUUUUUUCGGUUAACCGACCGGUUUCGAACCGAAUUAACCGUUAACUGAAAAUUCAUAAAAAAAUUAACCGACCCCCGACCGAAAAAAUUCGGUUAACCGACCGAUUACCGAAUUUUUUCGGUUUUACCCGAAUUAUGCACACCCCUAUUUAUAUGAUAUGAUUACUGUUCACAGAUAUGAUAUCGUAGGUAGGUUCCCAUGCAAAUCAACGUAUACCCUACUUUAGGUUAACAUGUAUUUAUAUGAGGUGGAUUUACAUAGUGCAAACCCACAUCAUGCUGUCUCGUAGAAGGUUGCAAACACCUUACAUGCGAACUCAAAGUGCGAACUGUAAUGGAUCAGUAAUAGUGAAUAUCAUAACAAAAGUAAAUUAAAAUAUUUAAUUCCUUCCAAAUAUUAAUUUCAAUAAUUAUUCAACUCCUAUUAUUUUAUCCUUUUGUAUAUUGAAUUCCUCUAAGCAAAGAAAAUAUCCAAAUUAAAAUUUUUAAUUUUUUUAGACAUAAUAUCAAAUUUAACCUUCAACGUUUACAUUUUUUUGUCAAUUUGGCAAUUAUUCUUUUUUGAGCUAAAUUUGACCCUUAAUCUUUCAAAAAAGAGUCAAAUAUUUUUUUAUGAAAUCUUUUUUUAAUGAAAACAUUAAUAAAAACAUUAAUUUUUUUAACAAUAAUGGUGUGGCAACCCGCAUGGUAGUCCACGUAUACUUCCAUACUAGUAUGACACUAUUUGUAUUAUAUGUCAUGUCAACAAAUAAUUUUAAAAAAGUAUUUAAAAUUCAAAAAAUUAUAAAAAGCUCAUAAUAUGUAAAAUAAAAAAGCAUGAAGUACAUAUAGAUUGUCAUUCAAACUAUCAUAUUUGAAAAUUUAAUGUUAUAAUCGAAAUUUUUUUUAAAAAAAUAACAAUUUAACUCUUUUAAAAUAUUAAUGGUUAAAUUUAACUUUUUAAAAAAAAUUGAAAGUCAAAUUUAGCUCAAAAAAUAAAGAUUAAACUGACAAAAAAUAUAAAUGUUAAAAGGUUAAAUUUCAAAUUAUAUCAUUAUUUUAUUAAACAAACCUUAUUAAAAAUGUAUUUAAAUUUUAUAAAUCUUAUUAAAAUAAUAUUAAUAAUUAUUCAACUCCUCCACACAAAGAAGCAUCCAAAUUAAAAAUAUAUAUUUAAUUCCUUUCAAAUAUUAAUUUGUUCAACUUCUUAAAUUAAGUAAUUAAUCAAUUUUCGUUUUAAACAAAAAACCGGAUAGGAAAACCAUCAUUUUCUCGGGAAACAAACAGAGAAAGCUGCAAACUUUCCAAAUAUAUACCUUACUCGAAAAUCUGCCACGUCUUAUCCUUGAUAUGAUGGUUUCUAACAUUGCCACUUGGCAAGUUAUUCAGUAACAAUGCCAAUCUGCCACCAUUAUGCUUUUCCUUGCAGUACAAAAUUCCAGGAUGCCUUUACUUCUUUUGCCUCUUGGAUCAGCAUUUACUAUCACCAAAAUCAAAAUCCCAACUUUGAAAAAAAAAAAGUUUAAUUUUUAUCCUUUUUUUAAAAAAAUUUAACAAUUUUUUAUUUUCCAUUGUCAACCUUGUAAAAUUCUUUUAUAUUUUUAUGUUUUUAGUGGGAUUUUUACAUUUGUUCCAAAUUAUCAGUUUGUCAAGUUCUUCAUGCUUUCCAUGUCCCAAAGGAUCACAUUUUAUUUAAGAAAUAGAAAAAGACAUUAUUUUUGUUCUUCAUGCAACUUAUAAGUUAUAGAGAAUGAAUUUCUUUGAUUUUAGCAACUAAUAUUAUGAUUCCAACAUUUAGGGUUUUAUAUGUUUUUUUUUCUGUAUGAAUUUGAACUUGAGUUAGCCAUAAAAACCCCACCUUUAAUCUCAAUAUAUGAACUUGGCUUUGCUUCUUAUGGUUAUUAUUGUUUAAUUUAAUUAAUGUCUUGAAAGGGUAUUCUAGUUUAAUUUAAUUAACUAGUCCAUUUAUUUUGAUUGAUAAUGAUGUUGCAGGUGCUUAAUCUUUCCAUUGAAAUGGAGAAAAUCAACUACCAGGACGAGCUGAAGAAAGAGCGUAGGCUUGUUCGGAGUCUCGUAUACGAGAUCGGUUACAGGAAGGAACAGGUGUCCGAAAUGGAACAUAAAUAUGACAAGACAACCACGGCUUUUCAAGAACUCGUUGAUGGCCUUGUAGCGAAAAUUGACUCCAAGGACAGUAGUUUGCGGGAUUGGGAGCUUCGAUAUAAGGAAAUGGGGAAAUGGUACAUAAAUAUGAUGAGACGACCGCAGCUCUUCAAGGACUCGUCGAUGGCCUUGUAGAGAAAAUUGACUCCAAGGACAGUAGUUUACGGGAUUGGGAGCUUCGAUAUAACGAAACCGUGAGACAAUUGAAGGGCGAGAACGCGGUGUUUCACCUUGUGUUUGCUAAAGGUAUACUUUAGAUUAUAUAUUGCAUACAUAGCGAGCAGAAGACUAUGCAUUAAUCCAAUCGUGUACGAUGAACAACAUGUCGUUUUCGAAGUUCCAAGGUUUGCAUUUAGAGCUUUGAUUGAUCUUUAGGCUAUUUUACACAUCUAGUUGCUUAGUAUUAGAUUCGGUGAAGAAGUUGCAACUUUAGGAUAGUGAAGGAGACAUAAAUGUCAGGAUUCGAACCCCAAACUCUGCUUUUAUAUCUGUUAUCACGGGAACCGGAUGAACUUAUGGAAACGAGGCUUGGAACCUAAAAGGAAGCAUAUAUAUUUGAGAUAUUCCGAUUUUCUUCCUGUUGCUAAUGCUUCUAUCAUACACAUUAGGAUUAUGUGAUCUUAUAUAUAUACACACGCAUAUAUACGAGAUACUGAUGAAUUUCUGCCUCCUGUUAUUGCUUAUAUCAUAUGCUUUAUGGACUGUUGCUUUACAUUUUUUAUGCAGAAAUUCAGAAGGAAAGGGAUGAAAAUCUUAAGCUGAAGUGCCAACCUGGCUUUCGAACCAAGUUGGUCGAAGAUUAUAUAUCUCGUAAUGAUAACGAUAUGGAACGAAGUAGCUUGUUGAAUGAAAUGGAAGGGGUUAGCAUACUCAUCUUAAUUUUGGUUUUCGAUAUAUGAACUAUCUUUUGUCGAGUUUGUACCUUUGUGUAAAUGAAUCCUGUUAUCAUGUUUAGGUUCAACGUUUUUAAUGGUUAUGAUUUGCCGAGUAGACUUUUAACAAUUCGGAUUAUAUCUGAUAUAGCCGAAAGAGAAUGUGGCUUGCCAAAAUCUUAUUGAACUCGAGAAAACUACAAGCGAGCAGAUUACUGCUCUAAAGAAAGAGUUGGAGGAAAAAUCAGAAGCGUUGAAAGAUAUGGAAAACCGAAACAGUUGUCUAACGGUGAAACAAGUCCUAACUAAUCAAGAGCUGCAAGAUGUUCGAAAAGAAUCCAUACGUGUAUUUUUCAUGUUUUCCUUUGCUUCCUCCUAUGUUUCCUCUUCGAAAUCGGGUUUAAACUUGAAAGUGUUAAACCCAAGACUUCUCUGGUUUUUGAUGUGCAGGGUUUGAACGAUUUUCUGAAUAACCAGACUAAUCUUAAGAGUGAAAAGAACGGGAGAGAUUGAUCAAAAAGCAUUCAAAGUUGCUUGCUCGUUGAAGUUCCAGGACGAAGAUUGGCGAGAACCGUGUGCUAAAACAUGUUCAUUAUGUUGUUCCAAUAGGGUCGGAAGCGUGUAAAUUAUUGUACUAAAAAAUCACAAAAAGUUCAAUUCCCAGGGAAGAGAGGUGGAUCACAUGGAUCUCUUAAAUACCAAGUCUUUUCUUAGACAGAAUAUCCCUUCUAUAGUAAUUUAAUAGCACAAUUAAAUACUACUAUUAUACCCUCAAAUAUUGAAAGAAAAAUAGGACAAGAAAGAACACAAGAGAUUUAACGAGGUUCGGUAAAUUAUACCUACGUCCUCGGGCACUAACACCAGAUGAUAACUUUACUAUCCCCAAAGUAUUACAAACAAAUAGAAUUCCUUAAGAAUUCUCAAAUGGGAGAAGAGAGAAAACUAAGAGAGAAAGAUUGGUUGGGAUGAAUUGAAAUGAGAAAUGAGAAGGCCUAUUUAUAGUUGAGGUUCAAGGACCAAACAAUAAAUAGCACAUUAUCUCAAGGACCAAAAAAAAAUUAUCCCUUGCCACUUUUCCAAAGUUGGUGGUUGUCAUUAUUGAUUGUCUCCCAUUAAUGUUAAUGGCAACCAUUAUUAAUUGUCUAUCAUUAAUGUUAACAAUCUCCACCUUGAAGAUUUGAUUAGGAUAAUCACAUCUUCACACACUUCCUUCAACUCCCUAAAUUCGAUAAAGCUAUCUUUUGUAGUGCCUACAAAUGCGCUCUCGAGCGCCAUACACCUGAAGGUGCUCAAAUUCUCAGGAUGUUAAUCAAGUUCAAACAAUGAUUAAACUUGAUUGUUGUUACCACCUUGGUCAUCAUAUCUGCGGGAUUAUCUGCUGUCGGAAUCUUCUAAAGUAGAAUUUUUCCUUUUUCAAAGACUUCUCGCACAAAGUGAUAUCUUACGUCAAUAUGCUUGGUUCUUGAAUGAUAGACUUGAUUUUUCGCUAAAUGAAUAGCGCUCUGACUGUCACAAUAUAAACUUAUGUGACUUUGAACAACUCCUAAGUCUUUCAACAAUCCAUUAAGCCAAAUAGCCUCCUUAACAGCUUCUGUAACUGCCAUAUAUUCUGCCUCUAUAGUAGAUACAGCUACUGUAGACUGUAAGGUAGACUUCCAACUCACUGGGGCUUUCGCAAGAGUAAACAAAUACCCCGUAGUUGAACGACGUUUAUCUAAAUCACCAGCAAAGUCGGAAUCAACAUAUCCAACUACAAACUGACCAAGUGCUUCAUCCUGUUCAAAAAUUAAACCAACAUCUACGAUUUUUCAAAGAUACCGUAGAAUCCAUUUCACAGCUUGCCAAUGUCCUUUUCUAGGAUCAUGCAUAUACCUGCUCACAACUCCAACAGCUUGUGAAAUGUCAGGCCUCGUACACACCAUCACAUACAUCAAACUCCCAACUGCAUUAGUAUAUGGGACUUUCGCCAUAUAUUCUCUUUCUUCUUCAGUUUUCAGAGAUAAUUGAGCACUAAGUUUCAAAUGAGAAGCAAGUGGGGUACUUACAUGUUUUGUGUUUUCAUUUACACCAAAACAUUGUAAUACCUUUUUCAGAUAUUGCUUCUGAUUCAAACAAAGCUUGCCUCUCUGUCUAUCUCUACUUAUCUCCAUGCCGAGAAUCUUCUUGGCCUCACUUAGAUCUUUCAUCUCGAACUCUUGAUUCAACUGAGCCUUCAGCUUAUCUAUCUCUUUUUGGCUCUUCGAAGCGAUUAACAUAUCAUCAACAUACAAGAGUAGAUAAAUGAAAGAUCCGUCAUGCAGCUUCUGCAAAUACACACAAUUGUCAUAUUUGCUUCUUGUGUAUUUCUGCCUUCUCAUAAAGCUAUCAAAUCGCUUGUACCACUGCCUCGGGGAUUGCUUCAAUCCAUAUAGCGAUUUGUUAAGCUUACAAACCCAAUUUCUACCACCAGCAUCUGUGUAUCCUUCUGGCUGAGUCAUAUAGAUCUCCUCUUCUAACUCACCAUGCAAGAAAGUCGUCUUAACAUCAAGUUGAGCUAGCUCUAAAUUCAACUGUGCUACCAAGGCCAACAAAAUUCUAAUGGAGGAAUGCUUCACAACAGGGGAAAAUACAUCAUUGUAGUCAAUUCCCUCCUUCUGAGCGUAGCCUUUAGCUACCAAUCUUACCUUGUAGCGAAUAUCCUUCUUGCUAGGAGAUCCAUCUUUCUUUGCGAAUACCCACUUGCAUCCGAUUUCCCUUUUACCUUUCGGUAAUUGCGCCAACUCCCAAGUAUUGUUCUUCCGGAGAGACUGCAUUUCUUCAUCCAUGGCGCUUUUCCAUUUAUCACUUUCUAAGCUUUGCAUUGCUUCUUGAUAAGUGAUAGGAAUAUCAUCAACAACGGGAAGGGCGUAGGCCACCAUAUCAGUAAAUCGAGCAGGUUUACGAAUUUCUCUCCAUGGCCUUGCAACUGCAACUGGUUCUGGUGUACUUAGUGGUUCUUGGGUCAGAACCUCUUCAACCUCUAAUUCCUCCAUUGUGGCUGGAGAAUUAGACUUAUUAACUGGGCAAAUCCCCAUCUGCUCAAACUCCACCUAUUUUGGAGUACACUCCACCUGCUGUGGAGUAUUGCUCGUCUGAAUAUCUUUAUCUGCUACCUUUUUCAAUGUGGCAGAUUCAUCAAAGGUAACAUCUCUGCUACAGAUCAUUUUCUUUGUGCUUAAGCACCAAAGACGAAAUCCCUUCACUCCAGAAGUGAUUCCCAUAAAGAGAGCUUUUUUUGCCCUCGGAUCUAACUUUGACUCCUUCACAUGGUAAUAUGCAGUGGUUCCAAACACAUGUAAGGAAUCAUAAUCUGUAGCCGGUUUUCCAGACCAUACCUCCAUAGGAGUUUUUCUUUCUAAUGCAGAUGAUGGCAAACGAUUAACAAGAUGGCCAGUGUAUGUCACAGCCUCAACCCAAAAUUGCUUGCCCAACCCAGCAUUGGACAACAUACAUCAAACUUUCUCCAGCAAUGUUCGAUUCAUACGCUCUGCCACUCCAUUCUGUUGUGGUGUAUCCCUAACUGUGAAGUGUUGAACAAUACCAUACUCUUGGCACACAUCGAAGAACGGAUCACUUUUAUAUUCCCCUCCAUUGUCCGUCCUAAGCCGCUUGAUUUUCUUGCCAGUCUGGUUUUCGAUCAUAGUUUUCCAUUUAAGAAAAACUCCAAGCACUUCAUCUUUAGUUUUCAUGGUAUACACCCAAACUCUUCUGGAAAAGUCAUCAACAAAAGUAACAAAGUAGUGUUUUCCUCCCAACGAAGGUGUUUUGGAAGGCCCCCACACAUCUGAGUGAAUAUAUUCCAAAAUACCUUUUGUAUUAUGGAUAGCAGUGCCGAAUUUCACUCUCUUUUGCUUUCCCAGAACACAGUGCUCACAAAAUUUUAAUUUGCAAGCCUUUGCACCUUUCAACAAUCCUUGUUUUGCCAGAAUUUGUAAGGAUUUUUCGCUGGCAUGUCCCAACUUCAUAUGCCACAACUGCAUUGAGUCCAAGUCUUUGUUACCGGAAGCUGCAGCGACUGCUCCAAUAACUGUACUACCUUGGUAGUAAUACAAGUUAUUUUUCCUGAUGCCCUUCAAUAUCACAAGUGCGCCAGAUGUCACUUUCAAAACCCCAUCUCUCAUAGUAACAACUGAACCAUUGGAUUCCAAGGCUCCCAAUGAGAUGAGAUUUUUCUUCAAACUGGGCACGUACUGAACAUCAGUCAGAACUCUGGUUGAUCCAUCUUUAUUCUUUAAUUGGAUUGAACCUAUCCCAACAAUUUUACAGGCAUUGUCAUUGCUCAUAUAAACAACUCCUCCAUUUAGUUCUACUAAAUCAGAGAACCACUCCCGGUUAGGGGACAUAUGAUAGGUACAACCCGAAUCCAAUAUCCACUCAUCUGAAUGGAACGACGAUGAUGAUGCAACCAGUGAUAGUUCAGAGUCACUAGUAUCAUGCUUAGCAACACAAGCAUCUACAGCAGCUUUUCCCUUAUUCUUCAGCUUUGGACAAUUUUUCUUCCAGUGGCCUUUCUCAUGACAAAAAGCACAUUCAUCUUUCCCGAGUCUGGACUUUGACUUUGAUAUCCCCUUUUGAGUUUUCUUCCGAGUGUAUGAACGACCUCGGACUACUAAAGCUUCUGUAUCUCUGAUUGAGUUUUUCUGUUUGUCCUUCUUUCUCUGUUCAUAACUGUAUAAGGCCGCACAGACUUCGCUCAGAGAUAUAUCACUCCUGCCAUGAAGUAGAGUAGUUUCUAGGAACUCAAACUCCUCAGGAAGUGACCCCAACAGCAUCAAAGCCAAAUCUUCAUCUUUGAAUGUCUCAUCCAUAUUCAGCAAAUCAGUGACUAACUGAUUAAAUUUGGUGAUGUGAUCAUUCAUUGUGGUACUUACGUAUGUGAAGCGAAACAGUCUUUUCUUCAAGUGGAGCUUAUUUUGACUGUUUUUCUUCAAAAAAAUUUCUUCAAGUGCCACCCACAACUUAUUUGCAGAAGUCUCCUUUGAAAAAGCAUACAUCUGCUCUCGAGAAAGGCAUGAUCGAAUUGUGCCACAUGCCAACCGAUUGAUCGCCUUCCAAUCUUUCUCCUGUACAUCAUCUGGUUUCUCUUCAUCAAUGGCAAUGUCUAGACCCUGCUGAAAAAGGGCAUCUAGAACCUCACUUUGCCACAUACCAAAAUGGCCCGUGCCAUCAAAGAUUUCCACGGCCAAUCUUGCAUUUGCAAUUGUCGGUCUUGUCCACAUGGACGAUGUUGAAGCUCCUACACCGACCGUUUUCUCCAUAAUCUUUCAAUAUAUCUAAGGAAAUCUUUUCUGAUGUGGAAGAUCAGUUUAAACUGCAACCACAGAGCAUACUACGAUUAACCUUCGGCUCUUGAUACCACUUGUUGUUCCAAUAGGGUCGGAAGCGUGUAAAUUAUUGUACUAAAAAAUCACACAAAGUUCAAUUCCCAGGGAAGAGAGGUGGAUCACAUGGAUCUCUUAAAUACCAAGUCUUUCCUUAGACAGAAUAUCCCUUCUAUAGUAAUUUAAUAGCACAAUUAAAUACUACUAUUAUACCCUCAAAUAUUGAAAGAAAAAUAGGACAAAAAAGAACACAAGAGAUUUAACGAGGUUCGGUAAAUUAUACCUACGUCCUCGGGCACUAACACCAGAUGAUAACUUUACUAUCUCCAAAGUAUUACAAACAAAUAGAAUUUCUUAAGAAUUCUCAAAUGGGAGAAGAGAGAAAACUAAGAGAGAAAGAUUGGUUGGGAUGAAUUGAAAUGAGAAAUGAGAAGGCCUAUUUAUAGUUGAGGUUCAAGGACCAAACAAUAAAUAGCCCAUUAUCUCAAGGACCAAAAAAAAUUAUCCCUUGCCACUUUUCCAAAGUUGGUGGUUGUCAUUAUUGAUUGUCUCCCAUUAAUGUUAAUGGCAACCAUUAUUAAUUGUCUUCCAUUAAUGUUAACACAUUAUGGCAACAUAAUGUGCAGGAUCCGAAUUGGCACCCGUAUAAGAUGAUCAACAUCCGAGGCAACUUGCAUACACCGAUUGCUCAGAAAACCGUACUGUUAUCAAACAUCUGUUGUUCUACGAAAUGCGAGCUGGUUCAUUACUCAAAACUUACAUAUUAAUGGGAUGCCUUCUCGGUAAUGCAGGAAAUAAUAGACAAGGAUGAUGAGAAGCUGAAGGAGUUGAGAAAUGAAUAUAGUGACACAGCGUACGAGGCUGUCAGCACCGCACUGAUGGAAAUGAACGAAUAUAAUGCCAGCGGAAGGUAUGCGAUCCCGGAAGUUUGGAACAGAAAGGAGGGAAGGAGCGCUACCAUGAAAGAAAUCGUUCAGUACGUCGAGCAACUGAAGAUUCACAAGCGUAAGCGAUUUUCUUAAUGCUGAGCUUAGCAGUCCAUUGCUUUCAUGGAAAAUAAGUAGAAUUAUACACAAUCCUUAGGUAGGUAUUAAAUUUUAGAAUUAUAUUUGACAUUAAAAAGAGCUAUUUGUUCAUUCCAGCAUGAGCUCCAAAAUUAGGCUCCAUAUUUACAAACCUAAAUUAAACUUACUCCAUAUUUACAAACAGAAAUUAAACCUACCUACGAUAGUUGCAUAAAAAAAUAUUAUCAAUUUAAAAAAAAAAGUAAUUAAGUUGUUGGUAUUUUUCAUUUAAUUAAAUACUUCACUUUUUAAAAUGUAUCAAAAACUUUCUUUAAAUUUUAAAAAAUAAUAAUUAAAUCUUUGUUUUUCUUUUACAUACUCAAUGGCUACUUCAACUAUCAAAAAAAAAAAAAAAAGAAAAGACUUUUUGACAAUUAAAAGUAACUGCUUUAAUUUUUUUAGUUAAAGUCAUUCAGCGUCACAACCAUACAGGCGUGAUGUGUAAUAAAAAAUUAUAAAAAAUAAAAAUUAAUAAAAUUAUUAAAUUCUAAUAAAAAAUAUAAAAAUAUUUAAAAUUUAUUUAAAAUGUCAUAAAUGUAUAAAUAAAAUAUAUUAAAAAUGUUAUUUAACCACUAACUUUAAUUGUUGACUAGUAAAGUCCAUAAUUUUUUUUUCAAUUAAAGCCAUCAUGUGUCGCAAUGCAAUGUGACCUGUGAUGAAAAAUUAUAAAAAUAAAAAUCAAUAAAAGUUACAGAAAAAUUAAAAAAUAUUUCUUUUGGUACAAUAAUUUUUAUAAUUUUUUUAUAAAUUUUAUAUUUUUAAAUUUUUAUAAUUUUCUUACUAUUUUAUAAAAUUUUAUAACUUUUGCAUUUUUUUAUAAUUUUAAAUAUUUUAUAAUUUUUAAAUUGUUUAUAAAUUUUAACUCUUUUUUAUUAAAAUUUAAUAAUUUUUUAACUUUGAUUUAUUUUUAUUUUUUUUAUAUUUUUUUACAUGUCACACUAUAAUUGUGACCUUUAGUGUUUUACCAAAAUAUUAGGAGUGGUUAAUUUUAACAUUCAACCGCUAAAAUUAACAAUCACAAGACUUUUAACAGUUCAAAUAUUCAAUUGGAUAAAAAAAUUUAUUAUUUAAUAAAAUAUAUUAAAAUAAGGGUUUCGACUCAAAUCAUGAUGAAUUGAGCCAUCGAACUUGAGAAAUUAAAAUGUGAACAGAAAUGGGCUCUUCAAAAACCCUUACCCGAGCCCAAGAAGAUCCCCCAAAAACCUUCAACUUAUAACCCUAAUUUGCCUCUCAACUACACUAUAAAUCCUAUCUUCAACAAGACUCAUUCAGCAUUUAUAUCUUCUAAAAAACCCUUCGUUCGUCUAAGGUUUCUCUUUAGAAAUUUUCUCUUCGCAGAGAGUAAUUUUUGCCUUCAUUUUUUUUUCUCUUUAUUUUCCCAUUUUCAAUCUGGGGUUUUUUCCAAAAUGAGUUAAAAAUCCAAUCUUUACACUAGAUGUGAACCCUAAUCACAUUUAUUUUAUCUGGGUUUUGAAUAAAAUCUACACUUGUUUGUAUACUUAUGAAAUAAAAGAACCAUUUUUAAUGCUUUGUUUCUUAACAAGAGUGCAGAAAUAAAAAGCUUGAUUUUUUGCUUCUUUUAAAACAAAGAAACCAAGGAUUAAGCAGCGGCCAGACAACCGUAGCGAUGAUAUCCACAGAUGAAGGGCUAAUUUCUUCUUUAAUCCCUUUUUUGUCUACUGAUUCCAUCUCACAUUUCGUUUUUUAAGUUUUUAGGGUUCAUCACUUUUGAAUUGAUUGAAAAAGCUCUAAUCAAAGUUGAAACUUGGUUAAAAAAUGGGUUUUUUUAUAUGAUUUUACCAUUUUCAAUGCUUUUUUUUUAUGUUUUUUCAAUUUGUAAAAUCAAAUGAGAAACAAUCUCAAAAAAGAAAAAACGACAUUAAUCUAUCAAUCAAUCAAACUGAUUUUGAUUUGAUCAGAUAAAAAAUCAUUAAAUAUCAUAUUCAUGGGAAUUGCAGAGGUUUACUGUUGUAAUUCUUACGAUAUUUUAUCAGAUAUAUUUUACAUCUUAAUAUAUCAUUAAUAUAAAGUCAAAUUUUUUUAACAGGUUAUAUUUUGAUAUUAGUCCCUAUAUUUUGUUGAAGUUAUGAAUUUAGUCUCUAUAUUUUUUAAAUUUUAAUAUUUUAGUCUUUAUUAAAUGAUAAUUGUUAAAAGUUAAAGUUUUGUUAUUUUUAAAAUCUAUUGCAUCAAACAUAUUAUCACAUGCUCAAUGUCAUGUCAACUUGUUAUUUUCAUGUAUUCUUUACUAAAAAUUUAAGGGUAAAUUAUCAAAAUAGUCACUUUUGUUUGACUCAGGUUACAUUUUAGUUACUUACGUUUGAAAUGUUACGUUUUAGUCACUUAUGUUAUCACGUUGUAACAUUUUAGUCACUGAGCCGUUAGUUUUUGUUAACGGUGCAACAGUAAACUGAUGUGGCACGUUAAAUCAUCAUUUCAAACAAAAAUUCUAGGUUAACUUAUACAAUCGGUCCUCAUAUUUUUUCGUUUUGAGCAAUUUAAUUUUUUUCUUUUAUGUUUUUUUUAACUUUCUUUCUUUUCCAUUCUCUUAUGCUUCUCUCUUUGUUUUCCUCCCUUCUCCAUUUCUUUCAACGUAGUUUUUCUAUGUUUUAUUUUUUUGAACAAUUUAAUUUUUUCGAGUGAGGCGAGCUUGUGGACUAGUUACAAAUGGAAAGCAUAGAAAAACUAUGUUAAAAGAAAUAAAGAAGGGAGGAAAAUAGAGGGAGAAGAAUAAGAGAAUGGGAAAAAAAGUUAGAAGAACAAAAAAGAAAAUUUUUAAAUUGUUGAAAAUGAAAAAAUAUAGGAACCAAUUGUAGAAUUUAACCUAAAAUUUUCGUUUGAAAUGAUGAUUUAAUGUGCCACAUCAACUUAUCGUCCAUUGUCGACAAUUAACGACUCAGUGACUAAAAUGUUACAACACGAUAACGUAAGUGACUAAAAUGUAACAUUUCAAACAUAAGUGACUAAAAUGUAACCUGAGUCAAACAAAAGUGACUAUUUUGGUAGUUUACCUAAAAUUUAAUUAAUAGAUUAACAACUGUUAUUUGAGUCGAAACUAAAAUAUAAAAAAUUACGACUUAAACUGAUCCAAUUAAAACAUAUGGACUAAAUCUACAACUGUGCUUACAAUACAUAAUUAGCAAUUGAAUUUAAACAAUUAGAUUUAACAAUAACUAUUUGUGUUAAAAGACUAAAAUUUAAAAAAGUACAGAGAGUAAAUUUGAAAUUUUGACCAAUUUGAAAAGUACAGAGACUAAAACUAACUAAAUUAAAGUACAAUGACUAAAUCCAUAAUUUUUAUAAAGUACAAGGAUUAAUAGAAAAUUGUAACCUUUUUAAUAAAGUAAUUUUGAUUUUUAUUAAUUUAUUUAUAUCUUUUGCUUUUGUAAAUAUAAUAUUUUUAAAUAUUAUUUUGAUUUUUUAUUAUUUUUCAAAAGUUUUUACUUUUAGAAUGAAUGGUCUAAUUUAACCUUCAGUCCAAUUCUUACAAAAUUGAUAAACACUAACAAUGCAUAAUUUAAUAAAACUUUUCAAGUAAUUUAUAAAAAAACACUCAAAUUAAGUAAAUUAAACACACAUUUCAUUUUAAAUUAAAAUUAUAAAUAUUUAUGUGUUAAAAAAUAAAAAUAAAGUAUCAUCGAAGCUGCGGGCUGCAAUCUUCCCAAGCAACUUCAGCCCCCAUUACUUCCCCACUCUUUUUUUUCUCUUUUUACCAACACUCAGAAAAUCAAAAUUUUACCACACUUUCCCUCAUUUUCCCGGAAAAUAAAAUAAAGAUAUUAAAACCAAACAAAAAUCCAAAAAAGGAACUCGGUGAAGAUUUAGAUUUAGACCCUGAAAUUUUUGCCAGUGAAAGUUUGACCAAAUUGCCAAUGAGAAGGGACAAUGUUCCACGAAGUAGAGGUCCGAUGGUCGCUGCCGGUGACCCUAGACGACAGAGAUUGGCCGACUAAAACGGCGUUGGAUUGCCAGUUUUGGCCUCAGUUUCGGCUCAUGCUCAUCCACUCCGUUUUCGACCCUUUAAUGCUUGCUUUCACGAUAUCGCCGGCGCCGGCCACGUUUGUGAUUAGGACCAAGUUGAAGUAUCGGAAACCGUUGAUUGUGAAUCUGAUUCCUCCUCGUUUCUGGCAUGGCACCCUGAAGAAUCAUACGAAAAAGGAAAUGAAGAUUGGGUCAAAUCUAUUGACACUAAUUGUUGAAGUUCGAAAAUCGGUCUAAUAUUUAAGAAGGUAAAAGCGUUUGAACGGGAUGAGAUCAUCUCAACAUAUUGGUUAGACCGCGAAUCGAUUAAAAUAUCGGAGAAAGUAACUUGAUCAAUUAACUCGAAACUAAUACAAAUCAAGAAAAUUACUAGACAAGUUAACUCGGGAUUUGAUACAUCUAAGUUUGAUUUUUAUUAUAUAUAAUUUUAAUUUCGGUUUUAAAAAUAAAAAGCUAAGGGAAUAUACCUUCUAAAAUAGAGAAUAAAAGGGGCGCAACUGGCUAAUCCUUUGUUCUAUUGGCUAUUGCUAAUGCCUUGGAAGUUGAAAGUGUACCUUACUUUGAUUAGUGAAUGGCCGAAUAUGCUUACAAGAAUAAAUUAAGAAAUUCAACGUGGCUUAACAUACAUUUGUAUUUACUGUCACAUGAAUUUGGAUAACAACGAUUGAGAUGGAGAGAAAAAUCAUAUCCAAUUAUGUUUAACACUAGCAUUACGUACAUAAGCUCACACCGACUGAAGAAAACUUUACAUAUACAAGUAGAAGAAAUUUCCGAAUGAACAAAGUCAGUCUUCGCAUCCUAGUUGUUGUUCCAUUCAAUCUCUGUAUGCCCAAAAGAAAAUGAGAGAAAACAAUUACUACGACUAAUGACAUUGUUGAUAACAGGAAAUAUCAUUGUCAGAGAAUUCAAGACUCAAGAGGGAGCAUAUAUAAUUAAUCUAUACUAUAUUACCAUACAUAUGCCCUCAAAUAUUUUUAAAAUUAAUCGUUCAAAUCUAAAUAUAUAUUUGAAAAGAGUAUACGAUAUUAUAAAGGAUCGUAAAAAUCGAAAUAAUAUUUAAUUCUAUAUCGUCUUCUAGAAAGAACAUGAGCUAUGGUGAUAAAAUAUUCGAAUUAUUCCUCUAAUCUCAUUUAUAUCAUAAUUUAAAUUUGAAGAACUUACGAGUAUCGAUGAGAAAACCCACAGGGUCUUUAAUGAGGGAGUUGUUUUAAUUUCUUGACUUAAAUUCAUUGAUUCUAAGGAAGCCUUUACAAACAGACAUAAUUAUUAAUUGAUCCAAUUUCAACAGCAUAAAGUAGGAUCAUAGGAUAAGGGCUUAGACAGAAACAACUUUAUUCUUUUUCUUUUAUGAGCGAAUCCAAAAAUUUUAUGUUGGGAGUUGUUUUUCCGCAAGUGGUGGGAACGGGCAUCAAUUAUUGCUUAAAAGUUAAGCUUGUAAUUUACAAUCAAGGCAUCCAUCAUUUUCUUCAUCCUGGUUAAUGAUAAUUCGAGAUAAAUGUUCCAUUUCCAGUUAAAAUAAAAAUUUUCUCAAGUUAAUUGUUUGAGGAGUAAAUUUAAAAAUAAUAAUAAGAUUGUUUUCUAAAUUAUAAAAAUAAAGAUACAUCAAAAUUAAAAUUUUAAAAAUAUAAAAAUUUUAAAAAUUAACAUAGAAUACACAUAGAUUGCUAUGUAGGUUGUCGUGUUUAAAAAUUUAACAUUUUAAUUAGUAUUCUAGUUUUUUUUUAAAAAAAACAUCAUUUCAGCUCUUUUUCAAAACUAAUAAAUAAGAUUAGAAAACUAAAAAUCGAAUAAAGAAUCGAAUUUAACUAGAUGUUGAGGCUUGUUUUACACAGUUUCCUUAACACAAAUUUGUCCGCUUCUACGGUACUUGGAGAAACAUUGGUCGACUGUCUCCCAUGAUACAAUAACACGAUGACUGAAAUAGCAUCACCUUUACAUGAAAUUGGCUGAUAUUAUGACGAUACUAGGUAGCAUAGAUAUCAUUAUGGGAGAAGUGGAUCGUUGAAAUGAUAAUUUAUACGACAGAAGUAGAAUAUAUCAAUUCCUUUUACACAUUGGAAUCUUUAAAAGAGGUCUAUGGGAUCAUAUGGAUGUUGGUCCCUAUUUUGACUCUUGUUUUGGGAAUCACAAUAGGUGUACUAGUAAUUGUAUGGUUAGAAAGAGAAAUAUCUGCAGCAAUACAACAACGUAUUGGGCCUGAAUACGCCGGUCCUUUGGGCAUUCUUCAAGCGCUAGCAGAUGGAACAAAACUGCUUUUCAAAGAAAAUAUUUUUCCAUCUAGAGGCAAUACUCGUUUAUUUAGUAUUGGACCGGCUAUAGCAGUCAUAAGAGACCAAUGAACAAACCUUGCAUUUUUCUGUCACCGGAACGUUGGAAAAUAUAGAGAGGAAAAGAGAAGAAUUUUCGAGAGCAAAAUAAACUUGGUUUUAGAGAGUCUUUUAGUGUAAAAAAUUUGAAGAAUUCUUAAGCAUUCAAGAUGGAGGAAUUUUGGAAAUAUCCAUAAUUAAAUAUAUAAAAUUUGUAUUAAAUGAGCAAUUAAAUCAUAAUAUAUGUCUUUUUUAAAUUAGAUUUUAUAUAUAUUUGCUGAGAAAAAUAAAUUUUGUGUUGGGCUUAAAAUAUCUAUCCCUUUUUGGGCCUGACCAGUUUAGACAUUUCACGUUGCCUACGUCGUGCGAGUGCGCUCCAACCCCGAUGGGUUUGGAUCUACACCCCUGCGCGUGAGACAAAGUUUCAAACUUAGUCAUUCAAUCAUCCUUCAAGUGGGUUCUCAUAUAUAGAGACAUCUCACACUUGGUAUUCAAUCAAUGUGAGAUCUAAGCUUUUCUUUUCCUCAACAAAUAUUCACAAGUAACUUACUUUGAGCAUUAAUUUCUCACUUAUCACUCAACCAUUUUGAGCAUACGAUAUACUGUUGUAAAGAUAUCAUUGAGUAGAAUAUAAAAUCAUAAUUUUAUGAUUCAAUUCUCCACCUUUACCAAUUGAGAAUAUGCUUUAAAGUUUCCAAAAAUUACAAUUUUUUCAACAUUUUAUACAUCUAUUUUAAAGGCAUAAUUGAGCCAAGUAGAGCCCGAAUAAUGACAAGUUGAACUUGACUCGAACAUCACUUUUUAAGGUCAAUCUUGAUUUAGAACAUAAUUGAGUUGAUUAAGCUCGUUUAUCAAUUUUUAUAAUCAAACCCAUUCAUAAUUAAGCUCUUUCUAUAUAUCAAGGAUAAAAAUGUAACUUCAUAAAUAAAAAUAUAUUUAAAUGGAAUGCUUAAUUAGGUUUGUGGCCUACUUGAAUCAAGUAUUACAAUAUUUAAAUUCGACUCAACCAAUAGCUCGAGCUCUACUCAAUAAUUUUCAAUAAAAUUUUGAGAUUUUUUGAAUCCAACUCGAAUUGCUUGCAAAUAUUAAUGUAUCACUUAUGCUUUUAAUUUUAAAUUUACAUUUUUAAUUCUUAAAAUAUUAUUAAAACCCAAUCAAUUGAAGGCUUUGUAGAAAGUGGUGGCAAAGUGCAUCCUUUACUUUAGGUCUCACUAUAUCUAAAAAGAAAUUAAUGCGAACCGUAGAAAGUGGUAGGAAUGUGCAUCAUUAUUGCUUUAAAAGAAUUUAAAUCUUUAAACGGAUAGAAUUAAAUUUUCAUAAUUUGGAGGAGUUAAAGUGUACUUCUUUUUACUAUUUUAAAAUUUUAAAAUUUUAAAAUUUUUUAAAGAGUUAAAAUAACAUUUUUUAUUUUAAGAGGGCCGAGCUCCCUGUCAACCUCUAGAUUUACCUCCGUAAAUUUCAAAAUUCAGUUAAAUUAUGUUAUUUUGAAUAAAACGUUAAUUGAUAAAGAAAUUCUUUUAGUUUCAAAAAUUCAAUUUUUCUGUUUUAAAAAAAUAUAUAUUAAAAUUUAAAAUUUAAAAUAUUAAAGUAAUAAAAUUUAAAUAUAUCAAUGUCUUUUUGAUACAUGCAUGAAUGGGGUGAAACUUAUUAGAUUCCAAUCAUCAAAACUGCCAAUUUUCAGGCUCGGAAAAUCAGCAGACUUGCGGCGACUGGAUCCUGGUAUUUUUGGGUUGAGAUGUCUCAUGGCGUUUAAAGAUCUAUCUCUUAGCUUUGAAACGCAUUUUGAAUAACUCGAUUUUGAGUUCGGGAGCUCAAGUUAUGACCGUUUUAGUGAAGACUACGCGAGAAGAAUUUCUGAACGGGAUUAUGACGGGAAUUACAAAUUUCGGGCUUUUAAUUCGAGUUUAAAUCAUAUUGGAUUCGGGUUUUAGACUUAAUUUUUAUUAUAUAUGAGCCCAAUAUUAUAUUUGUCAGAUCUUAUUAUUUUAUUAUUAUUUUAUUCUAAUUUUUUUUAUAAUUAUUAAGUAUUUUAAGUUAUUAGAGUUCUAGUAUUUUAAGCUAUAAAGGCCAGAAAAAUGUAUUCUUGGGGGUGAUUUUUGAAGGUAAAAAAGCAACAGAAAAUCAAUACAAAAUAAUCAAAAAUUUCAAACAAAAAAAGAGAGAUUUAGAAGGUAGUUUUUUUUUCUCUGUUUUUGUUUGUUUUAUUUAUUAUUUUUUCUUUCUUUUUCUAAACAGAAACACAGAAAAUAAAACGGGACCGAAAACUCACCUUUUUAGAGGGAGGGCUGAGAGAGAGUUGAGCAAGAAGAGAAGGAUUUUUUUUUUAAAAAAAUGAGGUUACCAAUGAUUUUUUAAAGUUUUUUUAAAUUAUAUAAACACCCCAAAACGACGUCGUUUUGAGUUUGGCUUCUGACACUUAAAACGGCGUCGUUUCACCCUUGACCCGCGUGCGACCUGACUCGCUCCAUGGGGAUCCUCGUGUUUUCAAUUUUUAGGCUAUUUACGCCUCUGGUCAUCCCGCGUUUUCCGGUUGUUUUAAUUUAGUCCCUUUUUUACUUUUUUUCUCUUUAUAUAUUUGGCCAUUGAUUUUGUGGCGUGUUUUAAUUUAGUCUCUGGCUCGCUAAAAAGGACGCGUGUCAAGGAGAUCGGGUUAUUUUCCCAUUUGGUUCUCGUUUGUUUUCGGGCCUUUCGAAUUAGUCCUUUGUUCUUUUUUUAUCUUAAUUUAUCCUGCUAAUUUAAUUUGAGUAGCAAUCGGGUCCUUUAUUCAUUUAUUUUUGUGUAUCUUUAUUGUGUAUCUUUAUUUAUUUUGCUUUAUUAUUUUUACUUUAUUACUCCUUUUUAUAUAUUUGUUUAAAAUUGGAUUGUGUAUAUGUUUAUUAGUUUUUUUUUUCUUUUGGUUAUCAUUCUUUUACUUUUUAAAUAUUUAAAUCUAAUAUUAUGAACAUUUACUUUAUCUAUUUACUUAUUUAUUUAUUAUUCUUUUACUUUUCAAACGCUUAAAUUUAAUAUUAUUUACAUUUGUUUUAUCUAUUAUUCACUUAUUUUUUCUUUUACUUCUAAAGAAAUUUUAAAUUCGAUAUUAUUCGUAUUUGUUUUAUUAAUUUAUUUUUUAUAUUUCAAUUUAAUGAUAUUUGUUUUAUCUAUCCAUCAAUUUAUUAUAUAUAUAUAUAAUUAGAUACCACUUAUAUUCAUUAAGCAACUUUCAUUUUCAUUUAUAUUUUGAAUUAUUUUAUUUAUUGUGUUGUGGUGUUAUAAAUUGAUUUUUUUAUUAUUGCUAUAUUCACUGUUAUUGCCAUAGUAUUUGGUCAUUUAGUUGUCAUUUAGUAUCCUAAUAUAAAUCGUACUCAUAGUCAUAUCACAUUAUUUCAUUACCAUUGUAUUAUACACUAGGUUCACACAUAUUUAUCCAUUUUUUUAUAGACGAUGCCCGAAUUAAACAUGUAUGCCUUGUAAGUGUUACAUUAAUAUUUUAUUCGGUGCACAAAAAGAAAAUUAUUUUAAAUAAGUAAUAUUUCGUAUUUUAGAAUUCGUAAAUUCGUUCCUUAACUUACGGAGUUUCGAUCUUCUCGAUAAAUCUAAAUAAAUGAACCUUUUUUAAAAACAUAAGUUUUUAAAUAAUCUCAGGAAUUAAGAAGAGAUCGUGUUCUAACUUAAUGGAUAUGGUUUCAUUCUAAAACUGAGAUAAUCGAAUAUCUUUUAAAAUAAAUAAAUUUUCGGUGUUUAUUCUCGUUUCGAGGAUUUAAGGUAUUGCGUCCUAACUUACGGGAAGUAAUCCUUUUUCUCGAUUAACGUAAAAUAUUUUUUUGUAAAAAUUCAAUUAAGCGAUAUUGUAACAAAGGAUGGUAUUUUAAAUCUCUUUAAAGUUUUUAAUUUUCGACAUUAAAACAUUAAUUCAUCAAUUAGGUACCAAUUUUUGGCGAGACGAGUGUGCUAAUCUUUCUUCGCACAUAACCGACUCCCGAACCCGUUUUUCUUAAAUUUCAUAGACCAAAAUCAUUAUUUAAGUAAAAUCGAAACGUUUUAUUAAAAUGAUUAAAUUACAAGGUGAUCCGAUCACAUCUCGAAAAAAUAUCGGUGGCAACUCCAGUUUUUUCAUUUUCAUUUUUAAAAUAAAAGUAGACCCCUUUUGUUUCAAAAAUGGAGAAAGUGUGUUCCUAUCUUUUGUCAGCUUUACCAAAAGGGAAAAUAAUUGGCGAUAGAAUGUUGCUUUCUUUUGUCAACUUUUUAGCUGUAUCCACUAAAUGAUAAGAACUGCAUUCUCAAGUAUUUGUGUUUCUUUAGGAUUCUAUUGUUUACAUCUCAAUUUUUUUUUUACAUUGAGUUGCACUUUGUCAAAUUACUUCUCGCAUUACUCUGUUAAGAAAAUUAUCUUUUCGCUCGUUCGUAACUACGAGAACUAAUCGCUGAAUCCUUCUCUUAUUCGUUGGAAAGGUACGCCAUCUGCUUUCAUUUUGGUUGAUUUGGUCUUACUUCUUGGUUUACAGAAGCUUUACUUUUUGCUCAUUUGAUUUGUAACUUUUUCUUCUGAUUUUGUUUUAAUCUUUGUUGUCGCUGUGGUUAUUCAGUUUACUUCUUGUUUGACCUCUCAAUGGAGUCUGUUACUACCCUAGUUGGCUCUAUUGUCACUAAAGCUGUAGAGUAUACGAUCUCUCCUAUCAAAAACCAUGUCAAAUACCUUUCCAAUCAUCAGCAAUAUGUUGAGACCCUCAAGGACCGAGCUGAGAGGCUGAAAGAUGCAAGGGACAGAGUGCAGCAUUCUGUUGAUGCAGCUCAACGAAACGGUGAAGAGAUCGAAGGGGAUGUUGGCAAAUGGUUGUCUGCAGUCGACAAAAAGAUUCUUGAACAAGCAGAGAAAGUGAUGCAAGAUGAAGAAAAAGCAAAGAAAAAGUGUUUCAUUGGUUUGUGUCCUAAUUUCAGGACUCGUUACAAGCUUAGCCUGAAAGCCGAAGAGGAGGCAAAGGCUGUUGCCGAGCUACUUGAACAUGGCAAGUUUGAAAGGGUUUCCUAUCGUGCAGCUCCGCAAGGUAUCGUGGUUGCACCAGUUAAAGGUUAUGAGGAAUUCGAGUCAAGAACGUCCAUUUUCAAUGGAAUAAUGGAGGCACUAAAAGAUGAUAGCGUCAGCGUUGUUGGGGUGCAUGGUAUAGGUGGGAUUGGAAAAACAACGCUGGUCAAAGAAAUUGCUAGAAAGGUCAAGGACAAGUUGUUUGAUUCGGUUGUCAUAGCAACCGUAACUCAAGCCAUCGAUAUUGAGAAGAUUCAGAACCAAAUUGCAGACUUCUUGGGCUUGAAAUUUGAGGAACAGAGUAUGGUUGGAAAGGCAUUUCGACUACGAGAAAGAUUGAAGAAAGAGGAGAGGAUUCUGGUUGUCUUGGAUGACAUUUGGGGAAAGGUUGAUAUUGAGGAAGUAGGGAUUCCUUUGGGAGAUGAACACAAGGGCUGCAAAUUACUAUUAACUUCUAGAGAGCUCAAUGUUUUAUCAAAUGGGACGGAUGCUCAGAAAAAUUUUCCCAUUGGGUUUUUAAAUGAAAAGGAAGCCUGGGACCUGUUCAAGAAGAAGGCUGGCGACUGUGAUGAAAGUUGCGAUUUGAAGCCUAUAGCUAUGGGGGUAGCCAAAAAAUGUGCAGGACUGCCGAUAGCUAUUGCGACAGUUGCAGGGGCUUUGAGAAACAAAAGAUUGUUUGAAUGGAAGAAUGCUUUACGAGAACUGGAGAGGCCUUCGUCAAGCAACUUCACGGGGAUAACUGCGGCAUAUUCAGCUAUAGAGUGGAGUUUUAAUUAUUUAGAAAGCGAGGAAGUUAAGCGGACUUUCUUGCUUUGCAGUGUAAUAGGCCAUAAUGGUCUCGUUGAGGACUUGGUAAGAUACACUCUAGGUUUGGGUUUAUUUGAUGGUGUCAACACUAUGGAAGAAGCUAGAAAUAAAGUAUUGACGGUUGCGGCUAAUCUCAAAGCGUCUGCCUUGUUGCUUGAUAGUUAUAAUGAUAAGCGCUUUGAUAUCCAUGAUGUUGUUUGGGAUGCUGCUAUAGCUAUUGCAUUGAAGGACUACCGUAUGCUUGUUUUGAGAGAUCAUGCUCCAAAGGAGUGGUCCGAUAAGGAGAAAAUGAAGACGUGGAGUGUGAUCAGCUUACGUUGUCCUCAGAUUAUAGCUAACCUUCCUAAGGAGAUGGAGUGCUCAGGACUUUCCUUUUUCCACAUGGCCUAUAAUGGCGCGGUUAAAAUUCCUCUCAAUUUCUUCAAACAAACCGUAGGCCUGAAAGCCUUAGAUUUGGUCGGAAUGCAGUUUCCAUCCCUCCCUGAAUCAAUUAUUCACCUUGCAGAGCUUCACAUGUUGUGUCUAAAAGGAUAUGCAGUUGAUGACAUAACCAUCCUUGGAGAGCUCAAGAGUUUAGAAGUACCCAACCUUUCUCGCUUAGGUAUCAAAGAACUACCUAAGGAGAUGGCACAAUCGACUCAAUUAAGGUUGUUAGAUUUGCGUGGGUGUAGAGAACUCAAAAUCAUCCCACCGAAUGUCUUAUCAGGUUUGUCUAAAUUAGAAGAAUUAUAUAUGAGUAGGAGCUUUGUUGAAUGGGAAAAGGGAGGAGUAGUUGAAAAUGAGAGGAAAAAUGCAAGCCUUGAUGAAUUAAACAAUUUGCCUUGUCUAACUACUUUAUAUGUUGAUAUUCUUGAUGUCCAAAUGAUACCAAAACACCGGUUUGUAGAAACAUUGGACAGAUUCAGGAUUUUCGUAGGUAAUUAUGGAGGAUAUAAUUGUUGCCAGAAUUAUGAAUCUCCGAAAGCAUUGAAGCUCAAGUUAUAUACAAACAUUGAUUUGGACAAUGGGAUGAAAAUGUUGUUGAUAAAGACAGAAGAUUUGUGCCUAGAGGGACUUGAAGGCGUCAAGAAUGUACUUGUGGAGUUAAAUAAUGGGAAAGAUCUUUCAAAUUUAAAGAGAUUUCAUGUCAAAAAUGGUAGGCACGUCCAACAUAUCAAAAUGAACAAAAUUGGAUUUUCUGAAUUAUGCUUCGUUAAACUUGAAAAUCUACCGCAACUCGUUAGCUUUUGCUCUCCAGACGAAAGGUGUUCCACUAAGCCCUUAUUACUUUUCAAUAAACAGGUAUUUGUUUGGCUUUACUUAUAUUUUCUUAUACUACUUUUAUUUAUAUGCCCAUUAAUACUUCUAAUAGUAGAAAUAAAUAAUAUUGUGUAAUGGUUUCUCCGGAGCUCAAAAAUAAAUUUCAAAUCCAAAACAAAUUAAAAUUUAAUUUUUAAUCCAAACCGAUUCAAAAUCAAUUCAAUAAUCUAAAUUUAAAUCCAACAAUUUUUUUUAAUUCUGAGAAUAAAAUUUGAGCCCACAAAUCGAACUAAAAUUAUCUUUAAAAUAAAAAAUCAUAUUUUCAAAUUAUGUUACAUACUAUCUUUCCCUAUGGAAAAAGAAUUGUGUAAAUAUGUGCAAUUUAUUUUCCCUCACUUGGAAAGCUUGUAAUUGUGUUCCAUUAACACGAAAAGAAUAUGGCACAACCAGACAUGUCAUUGGGUUACGAAUUUGAGGAGCUUGAUCAUCAAAGGAUGCGGCAAGUUGGAGCAUCUGUUAUCACCCUCUCUCGCUAGAAGUCUGGUGCAGCUCCAAUGCUUUGAGAUAGAGGAUUGCAAUUGCUUAAGGGACAUAAUACUUACAGAGGAAAUUGAAGAAGCAAGGAAAGAUGUGAUUUGUUUCCCUCGAUUAAACUCCCUGCAUAUAGAUCGUCUUCCAAACCUCAUCUUCUUCAACUCAGGAAACCACAAUAUUGAGUUCCCAUUGUUGAAAGUGCUAAAGAUUCAGCGUUGCCCCAAGUUAAUAGAAUUCAUUAGUCAGAAUAGUAAUCAGUCCGGCAUGCACGCUCUCUUCAGUGAGAAGGUGAUUUAUUUCAUUAGUCUUACAUUCUUGCAUAAAUCUGUUGAUUUGUCCUUGUUUUUUUUUCUGCCUUCAUUAUUUGAGCUAACCUUAUCAUGGGCAUGGAUUAUAUAUAUAUAUAUAUAUGAAUAUAUAUGAAUAGGUUGCAGUUCCUAGCUUGGAAGACAUCAAUAUCUGGGACUUGAGUAAUGUGAAGAUGAUAUUUUAUAAUGACCUAGCACCAGGUUCCUUUAAAAAUAUACGAAAAAUAAAUGUUUGGGGAUGUGGGAGUUUGAAAAAUCUAUUUCCAGUAUCAAUAGCCAAAGAUCUUCCACAACUUGAACAUUUAAGCAUCACUGAUUGUGGAGUUGAGGAGAUUGUAUCGAAAGGGGAUGGAGUGGAGGAGCAGCCUGUGAGGUUUGAGUUUCCGCAAGUAUCUUUCCUUGAGGUUACAUGGGUAGAAAAGCUCAAAUGUUUCUAUGAAGGGCAACAUACAAUAGUCUGGCCGAUGUUGAAAAAAUUGAGAACAGAUAGUUCUGCUUUGCUAAAGAUAGUGGCAUCGGAACAUCUUAGAUUAAUCCAAGGAAAUAAGCAGCCAGUUUUGUUGGGUGAAGAGGUAUGUAUAUCAUUACAACUAUAUUUCAUUUUAUGAUUUAAACCACUGCCACAAGCAUCUCAAGUUGAAAUAUGCCACGAUAAUGCAUUUCUAAUUUUUAUAUUUUGUUUUAUUUGGAUUUUUUUUUCGUAUUUUUGAAUUUUCAAUAUAUAUUUUAAAUUUUUUGUUACAUUUAUAAUUAUUUUUUCAUUUUUUUUAAAAACAAGACUGAAUAAACAUAAUAAGUAAAUAUUGAGUGAAUGCAAUUCAAUUUAAUAAAAUGUAUAAAUAUUGAGAGUUAAAUUUAUUAUUAUGUAAAAAAAAAGCUUAAAAAAAUGAAAAUAUUUUAUUUGUUUUUAAGUAUCCAAAAUGAAAAUAUUUUAACACUAAGUGACUGUAUAUGUAAUUUACCCUGCAUUUAAGUAGUGGGUCAAAACUAAAUAGAACGUUUAAUUUGCUAAAAACAAUUGCCACUCAAUAAAAAAUCAAAACUUUAAAAGUUAAUUACACUAGACAUCUCAAACUAUGACCUUCAUUUUAAAUUAGUCUUAAAAUUUAAAAUAUUCUAAUUACAUUCUUAAACUAUUGAGGUUAUAUCAAUUACGUCUUUCUCUUAUUAAAUUCGUUAAUUUAACCAUCAAAUUAAAUCAAUGUAAUAUUUUAAAACCUUGGUGUUUUAUCUCCACUAUUCUGCUUAUAUUUUUUGUCAUAGAAAAAUAUAUAUAUAUAACAAUGGUUGUUUAUCUAUUUUAAUCUAGAUUUGCUACUCUUCUUUCGGCUUUCAUGUUCUGUAAUUUUUAUCAGUUUUUAUUCUCAAGGUAUUGUGUUUUCUUAAAACAAAAAAUUCAUCUACUCUGGAUUCAUUUGAUUUAAUAUUGAUUUUGUUGGGAUUUAAUCAUCAAAAUCAAACACUAAAAUUGUAAAUCUCUUUUUUUUGUUUGUUUGUUUUUUUAAAGCAUAUACAUCAACAUUGAGCCUAACUUGUAUAUGUUUAAUUGGUUUCCAAGGUCAUUCCCAAAUUAGAGGAACUUGAGUUACGAAAUUUUGGUGAUAUGGACCAAUUUCCACCAGACUUGUUUCAACAUAUUAAAGUUUUUGCACUGAGUGGUGGCUCUCCAUUUUCUUUGUUUCCUUUCGUCCGAAGAUUCUACAAUCUGAAAAGACUUGAGGUUUCUAAUUUUGAUUUCAAACAUGUAGUCCCUUGUAAAGGAGACGUCGGGACUCUCCCAUCAAUUAGAAAUCUGAAAUUGGUUUCUGCCAGAAAUCUUAAGCGUAUUUGGAGGAAAGAUUCGGAGCUUGACCAUAUUCUUUCUGAUCUUCAAACACUCACAAUUCACAAUUGUGAUGAUUGGAUAAACAUUAGAGUCUUCUCAUCAUCUUUACAAAAUCUCACAAUUUUGAAUGUGUCACUUUGUAAAAUGAUGACAAACUUAGUUACACCCUCAGUACUUCAGAAUCUUGUGCAAUUAACGACAAUGAUCGUAAGAGGGUGCACUAAAAUGACAGAAAUAGUGGGAAACGAGGGAGACUGUCAUCAGACAAUAGUUGUUAGUAAAUUGAAAUGUUUACAACUAUGCAAUUUGAAGAGCCUCACAAGCUUUUGUCCAUGGUAUUACAACUUCGAGUUUCCUUGUUUGGAAGAAUUAGUUGUGGAACAUUGUCCUUGGUUAAAGAUCUUUUCUGAGGGAGUUUUAAGCACCCCACAAUUACAGAGAAUAAAACAGUCGCAUUACGGUGAGAAAUGGAGUUGCAAGUGAGAGUGGUGAUGCAAGUGAAAGCGUGGUUGGCGAAGGGGGCAUCUAUGAUAACACUGCAACUUUUUUCAGCAAUAAGGUAAGUUUGGUAUUCAAUAUUUAUCUGCACAACUUAUUUCACAUUUUCUUUUGAUUUGAUCAACAUGAGUGUGUCUGGUCUAUAUAUACAUACUAGUGCUACACCUUGUCAAAAUUGAAUAUAAUAAAAUCCAUAAAAAUAUUAAUAAAUAAGACAAUAUUUAAAAGAAAAACUGGAGUUUAAAAGUAUAAAUAAAUAUAUAAAAUAAGAAUUGAAGGAAAAACUUAAAGUGAAAUACUAAAAAACAAUAAGAAUUUAAGAGAAGUUUAAAAUUAAAUAGUAAUAGACAAUAAAUAAUAAAAUAACAAUAGAAAAAAGAAAACUAAUCUUCCUUUAUUUUAAUUUGUGGGUGUAUAAGAAGGAGAUAAUUGUGGAAGACCUUCACAAAGGUCAUUUGAGAUCAAAGGAGAAGAAGCAUGAAAACAAAAGGUGAGGAGUUUGAAGAAGAAAGAACCAAAUAUAUGGGUUUGAUUUAAAGAUUUAAUGUUUUUUUUUUAAUUUCAUAUAUAGAAAAAAUCAUUGAAAGAAAAAAAAAGUUCAAUAUAAUUACUUAAAUUUACCUGUCGGUUUUUAUAAAAGUAACUUAAAUUUUUGAUUAAUUAUGAAAAUGACUCAAUUUAAAAAUUAUGUACAUAAAUUAUUCGAUUUCUAUAGUGUUUGUCGGUGCCCCCAGACACAAUGGCGAUAUCAGACUGAAGUGUGAUUAUAUAAAAUGAUUGUAUUUAUGUACAUAAUUUUUAGUAGUGUUGUUGGAAAAAUUGGCGAUAUCAGACUGAAGUGUGAUUAUAUAAAAUGUUCAUGGACUUAACGAAGUAAUUACCCUUUUUUAAUUAGCGGAAAAAGGGGUCUUCCGGUGAAUAUGGGGCACCAAAUUAAAUGAUUUUCAUCUUUUGGUCUAUUUGCAUGUUUCCCUUUUUGAAAUUAAAUUUAGAUAACCCUUAAGAAAUAUAAGAAUAACAAAAAGAAAUCAUUCUCAUUUAUUUUAUUUUAUUUUUAAAAAAUAAACUUAAAAAAUUAUAUAAAAUGCUUAUUUAAAUUACCCAAAUAUAUCCCUCACACAACUUCCUCAAGUUUAUCUAAAUUCAAGCAUUUUCAAUUCAUUCCCUAGAAUAUUUAAAUUUAGAUAAACUUAAGGAAAUUUUUUGAGGAAUAUAUUUGGGUAAUUUGAAUAAGAAUUUUAUAUAAUUUUUUAAGUAUUUUUUUUCAAAAAAAAUGAAAAUGUUAUAGUUUUGUUAUUAUUAUAUUUUUAAGUGCUAUUUAAAUCUAACUUCAAAAGAGGACAAACGUAACAUGCAAAUAGGUCAAAUGUUGAAAAACAUUUAAUUUGGUUCAGAUACCAACGACACCCCUUUUUCAACCAAUCUAAAACCGUUAACCGCUUCAAAAGAUCCCUGCACGUUUUAUAUAAUCACAUUCAGUCUGGUGCCGUCAAUUUAUUAGGCAAAACCACUACAAUCUUUUUUAAAAAGCAAUCAUUGGCUGAUGAUGGAGGUCAAUGCAAUAAGCACGAUAGAUAUCAAGUCAUUUACGUAUAUGAUUUUUAAGUUGGAUCAUUUUCGUAAUUAACCAAAAAAUUUUGGUUACUUUUAACUGCCUAGUUGAUAUGUGAAUAUUAACCUUUAGAUCAGUUUAUAAAUCUUCAUACUCAUCUACUCAUUUUGAUUGUCUUUCAAAGUACAGAAGGAAGACUGAUACUAUCUUAUAAUAAUAUUUAUGUCAACAGGUUGUCGUUCCUCGUUUGGAGCGUCUGGAUUUGUCCUCGAUCAACAUUCAUAAGAUAUGGCACCACUCAUCCUCCCCAUCUAUCGGAUACCUAAAUUUCUUGCGGGUGAAGAGGUGUCACAAUUUGAAAUACCUGUUCCCGUUUUUCUUAGCAAAAGAUCUUGAGCAACUCCGAUUCCUUGGAAUUUUGGACUGUAAUAUGAUGGAACAAGUAAUAUUCACGGAUGGAUUGGUUGAGGAACAUCAAGGGAGGAAUCAGAUGUUUUUCUUUAAUCUACAUUCGCUGUGGCUAAACGACCUUCCCAAAACUCACAAGUUUGUGCUUUGAAAAUUACUUUGAAUUUCACUGUUUAGCAGAUUUAACACUAAGAAAUUGUCCAUUGCUAAAAACAUUCAUCUCUAAAUGUGUACCCGGAGAUGAACCUCAAAUUGGCCAACAUGUACAGGCAAGUAACUUGGAGGUUCAUAACUCAUCUCUCCUCAAUGAAAAGGUAAUUUCUUCAAGGAUCCUCCUUUUAAUUUAUGUUACUUCGAUUGAUUUUAUUCAUUUGAAGUUCUUUCUUUUUCAUACAUAUUUCAGUUAUUAGCCUAAUGAAAUGAUUUAUUAGAUUGUUUUCUCUAGUUUGAAGUACUUGUCGAUUCAGAAUUGUGAUUCGUUAGAAGAAAUUAUUGAGCUGGAAGGACUCAUUGCUGAUGAGUCACAGUCAACAUCAGCUGCUCAAUCUACUGUGGCUGAAACAGUGACGACCAAGUUUGUAUUUCCCAAACUAAUAAACCUUGGAUUGGAUAAGGUGCCAAGAUUGAAAAGUUUCUACUCUAGGAUGCAUACCACCCAGUGGCCUUCAUUGAAACGAAUGAGCAUUAUUGAAUGCCCCAAAGUACAGAUAUUUACUCGACAAUGUCCUGUGAGUCAGGUUGGAAUCUCAAACCAACAACCCUUGUUUUGCGUCAAUAAGGUAAGCUCACGAACAGUUUCAUAUUCCAUGAUCAUUACUUGAGAUUACCUAUAAAAUGCUUUUUGAAAAAACUAAUAUUCUCUCCUCUUUUAAUUUUAUGAGAGUCUAGUUCUUACUAAUUUAAAACUCUUUCAUCGAUGUCUAAUAUAUUCGUUGCCAUCCAGGACACUUUCCCUGUAUUAGAAGAACUAACACUGAAGACGAAUGAUAUGGGGAAGGGGAUAUGUGAUGGACAACUCUCAUUGCAGUGUUUCCAAAACCUUAAGCAUCUUAACCUCCAAUUCUUUCCUGAGACAUCCACUACUCUUCCGUAUUCCUUCAUUCGGUCACUACCAAUGCUUCAUAAGCUUGUUAUAGACAAUGCUUCCAUUUGUCAAAUAGUACAAUCUGAAGGACUCAGCGACCAGG
rnacentral:lncRNA from 1 species